rnacentral:rRNA from 1 species
UACGUAGGUGGCAAGCGUUGUCCGGAUUUACUGGGCGUAAAGCGUGCGCAGGCGGUUGUGCAAGACCGAUGUGAAAUCCCCGGGCUUAACCUGGGAAUGGCAUUGGUGACUGCACGGCUAGAGUGUGUCAGAGGGGGGUAGAAUUCCACGUGUAGCAGUGAAAUGCGUAGAGAUGUGGAGGAAUACCGAUGGCGAAGGCAGCCCCCUGGGAUAACACUGACGCUCAUGCACGAAAGCGUGGGGAGCAAACAGG